rnacentral:misc_RNA from 1 species
GAUGAAGAACGCAGCGAAAUGCGAUAAGUAAUGUGAAUUGCAGAAUUCAGUGAAUCAUCGAAUCUUUGAACGCACCUUGCACCCUUUGGACUGCUCCAAAGGGUAUGCUCGUUUGAGUGUCAUUGUACUCUCACACUCUCUGAUCCUUUGGAUUUGGGGAGCAGUGGACUUGGGUGCUUGCUGCUUUCUUGUGGCUCACCUGAAAUGCAUCAGUGCAUCUCUCGAUUGGACAUAGUACGGCGUGAUAAGUGUCUUCGCCGGCACCUCAUAUGAGGGUGGCCGAUCGGGAGCUCUGUGCUUUCAAACCGUCUUCGGACAACGCUGACAACUUGACCUCAAAUCGAGUAGGACUACCCGCUGAACUUAAGCAUAUCAAUAAGCGGAGGA